rnacentral:lncRNA from 1 species
CUCAGGUAGAACAGUCUCAAAUCGCACCGGCCGGGACCAGGCAGCCAAGAAACGCGGAGACAGACUACUGGGACUGCGACGUCUCCUCUCCUGUUCGCUGCGAUAUGCCGGCGUCGUGUUGAGCGGGCUGCGGACACAGACAGCCUGCCCGGCCCCACUGAGUGUUUGAUCCCCAUCCUCGCAGCUCUCUAGAGGACCAGAGUUGGCGGUGCAGCCCAGCGGAGCUUCGGUGGGUGCGGAUGUCACUAGAUGACAGACCCAGCCCUGUCCCUCAGCCCUCAGGGCCCUUUUCCCAAAGCCUACAGCCGCAGAAAGUUCUCUUAGGAUAUCCCCAGACCCUGCAGCCAGCUUUUCCAUUUUUCCUUCCUGGGGCCAGUACUUUCUACAGCGUCUACAGCCAAAGUAUCUUAUCCCAGGAGGGCCUUUAUAACCAUCUGCGCCUUUGGGACUUUUCCCCACUUGUUGAAAUCCAUGGUCUUGGCCUUUCUAGUAGCCUGUCUCUCACGCUUAAGAUAGUACAUGCCUCCCAUCUGUAAAAAUGGAUCAUCCGCCG